UACAGAGGUCUCAAGCGUUGUUCGGAUUCAUUGGGCGUAAAGGGUGCGUAGACGGUUAUGUAAGUCAGAUGUGAAAGCCCCGGGCUUAACCUGGGAAUGGCAUUUGAGACUGCAUAGCUAGGGUGCGGAAGAGGGAAGCGGAAUUUCCGGUGUAGCGGUGAAAUGCGUAGAUAUCGGAAGGAACACCAGUGGCGAAAGCGGCUUCCUGGUCCAGCACCGACGUUCAGGCACGAAAGCGUGGGGAGCAAACAGG
rnacentral:rRNA from 1 species